ACUCCUACGGGAGGCAGCAGUGGGAAGUAUUGGCACAAUGGGGAAACCCUGAUGCAGCCAUGCCGCGUGUGUGAAGAAGGCCUUCGGGUUGUAAAGCACUUUCAGUAGGGAGGAAGGUAGUGUAGUUAACACCUGCACUAUUUGACGUUACCUACAGAAGAAGCACCGGCUAACUCCGUGCCAGCAGCCGCGGUAAUACGGAGGGUGCGAGCGUUAAUCGGAAUUACUGGGCGUAAAGCGCAUGCAGGCGGCCUGUUAAGUCAGAUGUGAAAGCCCGGGGCUUAACCUCGGAAUUGCAUUUGAAACUAGGCAGGCUAGAGUCUUGUAGAGGGGGGUAGGAAUUUCAGGUGUAGCGGUGAAAU
rnacentral:rRNA from 1 species